rnacentral:rRNA from 1 species
UACGUAGGGGGCAAGCGUUGUCCGGAAUCAUUGGGCGUAAAGAGCGUGUAGGCGGUCCGGUAAGUCGGCUGUGAAAGUCCAGGGCUCAACCCUGGGAUGCCGGUCGAUACUGCCGGACUAGAGUUCGGAAGAGGCGAGUGGAAUUCCCCGGUGUAGCGGUGAAAUGCGCAGAUAUCGGGAGGAACACCUAUGGCGAAGGCAGCUCGCUGGGCCGGUCCUGACACUGAGGCGCGAAGGCGUGGGGAGCGAACGGG